UUCUUCCAAUGGCUUAAUGAAUUUCUCAUCUUUCUGUGAGCAUGGAAAUAGCUGAAAAGCAAAUGUGCCAUGUGUUUCUGCAGUUGUGGAUUUCCACACCAGUGUGCCUCAUGACUACUGAAGAAACCUGAUGAGACAGCAGGGCCAUGGUUGGUAGGAAGAGAACUACUGGCACUAGCGUCGGGUUAUCUGGGAUGGAUUUAGCAGAUGAAGGAAUUCAGGCAUCGAACUGCAACAAACUUUCCAUACCAGAGAGGACUCUGAAGACAGAGCAUCUAUCAAUGCCUGAUAGCUGAUCUGCAGACUGGAGAGCCAGCAGGCUAGCGAUUGUUGAAGGAAGACACGGAAAUUGAAAUGACUCCCUGAUUUCAGUGGAUAAGGUUCAUUUCUGCAACAACUUUGUAAGCUCCUUGAGAGCAGAAACCUUGUCCGUGUCUUUGGACACAGUCCUAACAGCGAACAGAUGAGGAGGAGGCAUUUAUUUGGAGGACACUGUGCAAGGAAACGCAUGGCCCGUUCCUGGAAGCGUGCCGUGUGAGCCCGCCUGUGAGGAACAGAGGGAAAGCGGGAGGCAAGACGUUCGCAGUAGCACAGUGAAGAUGUUAAAAAUUAAAUCUGAAAUACAAUAAGUAAACAAAUCAAUGUAAAACUCUGUAAUUAAAAGAACAAGAACAGCAUCAGCAAGAAUCCAGAUGGAAAGUGUUUUCUGAAAUUAACAUCAGUCUCUCACACCCUAAGAGUCAUUGGUUCUAACUUUACUUAGAAACAGACAGAGAGUGAGAAGGAUAGAGAGAGAGUCCACAAGUAGAGGGGAGCAGCAGACAGAGGAAGAAACAGACUCCCCACCGAGCAAGGGGCAUGAUUCAGGACUCGAUCCCAGGGAUCAUGACCCAGGUGGAAGAAAGACACUUAAACAGCUGAAUCAUCCAGAUCUUUGCAGGAAGUUGGAAGGAUGGCUGAUAAGAAGCCCCAGACUCUCUCUUCCACAGAGACACCAGUUCAGCAACAACACCACCAUUCCCUUUGUGAGAAGUCCAGAAAUCCAGACAUGAAACUACUAAGAAACGACAAUAGUUGUUUGGUAUCGAUAAAUUGAAGCUCCGCGGUGCUUGUUUGCAGAGACGCUUGUGGAUUCCACUGACACCGUCUACCCACUUCCUGCCAUUGGACACCUGAGCUCUGGAAGAAUGGCAUGAGCCCAUGUACCUCUGUCUUCUGCCAACAGGAUUCCACUCUCUUCUAAUGUGACCCGUUCUUUGGCCAACGAGGUCGUAGGCCUGACAAUGGGAGAUAAGGCAGUUCUGGGGGAGAUGAGUUUUUUAAUUCAUUUUGAAUGUAGGAAUUUGAGUCAAAGCCUAUCUCUGAUGAAAGGAAAUGUGUAGUUUUUGAGUUAGAAAUUUGUAGUUCUGGGAUAGUUCUUCAAUCUGCUUUAGUAGAAGCCUGUUUGAUAUUUUCACUCUUUUAGAUACCCAGAAA